rnacentral:misc_RNA from 1 species
UACGGAGGGUGCAAGCGUUGUCCGGAAUCAUUGGGUGUAAAGGGUGCGUAGGCGGAGGCCUAAGUCGGAGGUGAAAACUUGCCGCUCAACGGUAAGCGUGCCUUCGAUACUGGGUCUCUUGAGUUCGGAAGAGGUUGGUGGAAUUCGUGGUGUAGCGGUGAAAUGCAUAGAGAUCACGAAGAACACCGGUGGCGAAGGCGGCCAACUGGUCCGAUACUGACGCUGAGGCACGAAAGCGUGGGUAGCGAACCGG